AGUGAACGCUGGCGGUAGGCCUAACACAUGCCAGUCGAACGGCAGCACAGGAGAGCUUGCUCUCUGGGUGGCGAGUGGCGGACGGGUGAGGAAUACAUCGGAAUCUGCCCAGUCGUGGGGGAUAACGUAGGGAAACUUACGCUAAUACCGCAUACGACCUUCGGGUGAAAGAGGGGGAUCGCAAGACCUCUCGCGAUUGGAUGAGCCGAUGUCGGAUUAACUAGUUGGCGGGGUAAUGGCCCACCAAGGCGACGAUCCGUAGCUGGUCUGAGAGGAUGAUCAGCCACACUGGAACUGAGACACGGUCCAGACUCCUACGGGAGGCAGCAGUGGGGAAUAUUGGACAAUGGGCGCAAGCCUGAUCCAGCCAUACCGCGUGGGUGAAGAAGGCCUUCGGGUUGUAAAGCCCUUUUGUUGGGAAAGAAAUCUUUCAGGCUAAUACCCUGGGAGGAUGACGGUACCCAAAGAAUAAGCACCGGCUAACUUCGUG
rnacentral:rRNA from 1 species